GAGUAACACGUGAGCAACCUGCCUUUCAGUGGGGGACAACAUUUGGAAACGAAUGCUAAUACCGCAUAAGACCACAGUGUCGCAUGGCACAGGGGUCAAAGGAUUUAUCCGCUGAAAGAUGGGCUCGCGUCCGAUUAGCUAGUUGGCGGGAUAGAGGCCCACCAAGGCGACGAUCGGUAGCCGGACUGAGAGGUUGAUCGGCCACAUUGGGACUGAGACACGGCCCAGACUCCUACGGGAGGCAGCAUG
rnacentral:rRNA from 1 species